rfam:Selaginella moellendorffii unplaced genomic scaffold SELMOscaffold_4, whole genome shotgun sequence.
GUGUUCGUAGAAUGGAGAGAUGUUUGGCAUCUCCCUCGACAAGGACGGGAAUAACCUUCGGGUUUGAACACACAGAUGUGGUUAAGGCAUCCCACCCUCGGGUGGAUCUUACCCCCAGUUUUU